CCGGGCCCGGAGCGCCGCGGGGCUGGCUUGGGCCCGCCAGCCGCAAUGCGCUGGAGAGGGGCAGCCCACAGAGCCCGUGAAGCCCCGGGCCGAGAAGUGGCGCGUCCUGCUGCUGGUCUUCCCAGCCGAGGGCCCCUGUUUUAUGGCUCCGGGGGCUUUGCCGGGGGAAGCCUCGCCCCGUUCUUUGGGGCAUUGUCAGCCCUGGGCUGGGAGCAGGGCACAGCAGGAGCAACCCAGGGUCAGCCCUUUGUACGGUUGCCAACCCGCCAGAAUUGUCCUGGAGUCUCCAGGAUUUAAAGAUUAAUCUUUAAAGGUUAUGUCAAGUAAUGAAACCUCCAGGAAUAGGUCCAACCGAAAUUGGCAACCCAGCCCUUUGGAGGGCGAGAGCAGAAAGCUACUGGGGCCAUUAACAAGCAGUCAGCUGCUUACUUGCAGCAACUCCAGCCAGGCCAUGGCUGGGAGAGCCAUUGGGAGUUGUGCAGGAAGGGAGAGCCUGGCCUGGGCAUACGCCUUUCCCUAACCUGGGAGGAAACUCCUGAGCUUGGGCUGUGCACGCGCAUGGAUGGUUACAAAUAAUAUCUCUCCAUAGUCCACUGCCCUUAGACACAUGCCCAUAGCUGCAGUCAAUGGGAUUUUCCCUCUAAGAAGUUGCCUAUUUAAUUAUCUUUAAGGAUGCACGUAGAGUGCCCUACCUCAUUCCCUACACAGUGCAAGCAUUUGCUGAGGGAACAGACGUGUUUUGCAAGAUGGUAUUCUCUUGUGAUCAGCAAAUUCUUCCAGAAUAGAAACUCCCUAGGAAAAUAAAUAGUACCAGUGAUAAUAAUAAUAAACCAAAUAAACCCCAAGACACAAUGUUAAGAGAUAUUAUGGUUGGAAAGCAUGUCAGGGAAUGGCAAAAUUGAGGAUGCCUGUAUCAUGGUAACUCUGCCCUCUUGUGCGUAUGCAUAGUGACAGUAUUUAAUUACAUAAUCUUAUACUAUUAUUUCUGCAGAACCUCUGCCUCAUUCUGUGCACUGACAGGACAGAGUGUGUGAAAGAUGUAGAAAUACUUAGAUAAUGAGACAGAAGCUGUGAGGCUCUUCACAUUAUUUUUGAUCUGUUUGGGGAGUCCCACGGUUCAGAAAAAUGUCUCUGGCUACAUCCGGGCGAAGAGACGGGAGGAAGAUCUGCUCAGAUGAUCUGCCAGCUCAUUCUGCAUCCCUGGAAGGGUUAUGCUCUGAUGUCACUGCCUUUCUAUCUCAUUGGCAGCAACACUACAAGGGACAGGAGAAGGGCAGGGGAAGUGUGUAGAGGAACUGUGUGCCCAGAUUCAAAGCCAACCUCUUUGACAACUCUUGGUGAGCCUUGUAGUCAUCUUGUGGAGGCGACAUGCCCCCUUCUGAAACUGCCUUGUCUGGGGAGGAGAAAAGAGGAAGCCCACACAGGCUGCAGAUGCUCUUCUUCCCUUUCUGCAUCAGCAGGAUCCUGUUGAGCCAGCUUGGAGUCCGGUACUGAGCCUGGGACUGGAGUCAGGACUGGCUGGUGCCCGGGAGGCAGUGCUGUAUGUCCUUCCAAUGCCCCUGAAUAGAAACACCUGGAAUACACCAUGAAAACUGGAGGAAACCCCCAUGGGUUCCAAAAGGCCACAAAAGGUGCAGGUCCUCAGUAACAUUGGGCCCCCGUUCCCAAUGGCACCAGUGAACUGUGCUGUGGUGGAGAGGUGAGCACCAAGGCAAGCACUGCGAGUUUCCCCUUUGGCAGUACUGAAGGGAAUACCAUCCUGGGUACUUGGUGUUGACACGGUACUGAGCAUCGUAGAAAUUCAGCUGAUACACCUCUGUUCACUGGUACUGAUAACAUGAGCUCUUGUACUGUCAGUGAUACUGGUACCGACAACAAGAGAAGAUCCUGGCAUCCUCAAAUGCCUCUGGUGUGGUUGGUAUCAAGAUAAUAUUGGUACAGCAUGGUGCCACUGAUAUGAAAGACUCUUCUGGCUCUGGAUUCAGUGGUACCUGUUUAGCCAGAGUCAACGGUGCUGGCUUCUGCGCUCCUGUGGCAGAGGAGUGCUUUGGUUUAGACUGCACCCUACUCUGAUCCCCAGGCCUGGCAGCCUUUGGUGCUGUGGAUUGCCCCCUUUCAGCAGCCUGCUUCUUAUGCCUUUUUCUAGGCACAGGAGAUGGUGAUCAGUCUGUGGUACUGUAGGAGGAGUACUCCUUAUCCACACCAAGGCACUUGGUGAUGAGUCUGACCAGCCUGGCUCAGAUGGAGGUCUCAAGGCAUCCUCCAUGAGCAGGAAUUUUAGCCAGGCCUCCUGAUCCUUCAUGUAAGACUUAAAGGUCCCUACUAUGAGCUUCUCCCAGGCACCUCAAGCAACUUGAGUUCAGGUUGCUCAGGGGCACAGCCUUAUUGCAAGAGAUGCAAGGCUUCAAGCCUGGAGACCGAGGCAUCACUGUGCACCAGGGAUCGGACAAAAAAAGUGAUAAAUACUGUAAACUAAUAACUUCACUAAAACUAUUUACAUUAUUCAGCAAAAUGUUGACUGAAAAAACUUGCAAACACCUGGAAAAACUCCAGUGAUUGUCACAGGUGAUAAGAAAGUACUGAGAGGGCGGGGGUUCAGCUGGGUGCUUUAUACUGGUGAUAGCAGUGCUAGGCAGCAGGGCAGUGCCAUAACAAGGGCGAGGCGAGUGAGGCACUUGCCUCGGGCACGCAAAGCAGAGGGCCGCAGCUGUACCGCGAUCAGCGGCGCUUCGGCGGCAGCUCUACUGCCACUGCUUCUUCGGCGGCAAUUCGGCGGUGGGUCCUUCCCUCCGACAGGGACUCAGGGACCCGCCGCUGAAGAGCCUGGAGCAGGCCCUUGCCUCGGAUGCAAAAAUUCCUUGUUACGACUCUGCAGCAGAGGACACUGCAGCCACCCUGAUGGGUACCAUUUAGGGAAAAAUUUCCAGCGACUGUACGUGGGGCGUGCACACAACCACAGUGGAAUGCACAUGUGCAAUCACUCAAAGAGGAAACUCUGUUAGCUGUUCACUGCCAGUGUCAACAAAUGCAAAGUAAUGAGCAUUGGAGGAGAUACGUAAAAUACUCAUGCACCUUUCAGGGUUCUAAUUUACCUAUAGCCAAAAAGUGACCUGGGCAUCACUGCAGACAGUUCUAUGAAAACCUCUGCUCAAUGUACAGCUGCAGUCAAAAAAAUCAAACAAGAUGUUAGGCUACAUAAGGAAUGGGAUAGAGAGUAAUAUGGAGAAUACGCUAAUACCCUUAUCUAAAUGAAUGCUGCAGCUUCACCUGAAAUACUGUGUGCAGAACUGGUCAUACAGUCUUAAACAGCAUAUUGCAGAAUUGGAGGGGGUUUAGACAAGAAUGAUGAGAAUUGUAAAAGGCCUGGAAAAACUCUCAUAUGAAGAGAUUGAAAAGAUUGGUAUUGUUACCUUAAAAGGAGAUGAAGAAGAGAGGUCGUGAUUAAUAUAUAUAAAAUACUGAAUGAUCUAGAGACUGGUCUAAUAACACAAAAACAAGAACAACCCAUAUUGAUGUUUGCUGCAUCAUUGCUUUUGUAGCUCUGUCUCCCACGGGCUUUUUUCUUUUAAUAUUUACAUUAGAAAAUACAUUAAAUAUAACAGGUUUAUUCUCCAUAGUCUAAAAACAUUCACAUUAUCCUGGCAGGAGAGGGAUUUCAUGUUGUUCUCAUAUUGUUACACCCUUUGCCUUUUGGCUAGCAAAAAUUAUAUAUGAAAAUCUCAGAAAUCUUUAUUCAUUUUGGGCAUAUGUACGUUAAUGGUAAUUAUUUUAAAAGUCCCAUUUUCAAGCAAUUAGACAAUAUCAUGAAACCCAGAAAGCAGGUGGUUCAUAAUAUAAUUCUCUUAUAAAAUAGCAUUAUUCAUACUAUACGAUUGUGAUUCUGUCACAUUUCCUAAGCAUAAUAUGUAA